GUUAUGGCAACCCUAGCUAGCUGAUUCAUGCAGACAGAUAUCCUUAUCAACAAGAAAACAAUGGUUGAAGAUUUGUAAAACUGCUACACUCCCUGAGGGAAUCCAGUUGCUGUUGGUCAGCCAUGGUACUGGGUCCUGUGGACAAGAGGGGAGCAAAGCAGGCUCAGGUCUGCUUUCUCAGCACUGCCGUUUUCACAGGAGACCCAUGUGUACUAGGGUUCUGUGAAGAAUUGAUGCUUGAGUUCCAAUCUGAGGGCACUCAGUAGGGGAUGCUGGCUCCCUUUGGAGCAGACGCCCUGCCAUAGAAGGAAGGUGCAAGAUGAAAAAGAACAUGUCACAGGGGGUAGGGUCUCUUCCUCCACUCCUAACAGAUGAGACAGUUGACUCCUGUUGUGUAGCAAUCCCGAGGAAACAUGGACAAGCACUAAUUCGCCCAUGAUAGUUUGGUGGUUCAAUGAAGCUGGAUCCAGACAGAUUCAUAAUUCCAGGCUGUUUUCUGAAUUUCUGAAUAAAUGGCAGGACAAAAAA